GUAACAGCUUGGAGGAUGGCGGUGCAGUGCUCAGGACAGAGAAGUUAAAAGUAAUCUGAAGAAACAGACCUCCCCUCCUUGUGCACGACCAGCAGAGCCGGCAGACUGUAUCAUCCCAGGAUCCAGGUUGAGGUGGUUGCCAUCAUGUCUGUCUUCGUCUGUGGCCCCAUCACUCCAUCUCUGUGGACUCUGUCAUAAGAAUACCUCAGACUUCAUGUAAGGGUCACCCAAUCUAAGACAAAGUCAAGAGUCAAACUCCCAAGAUCCAAUUCCCCAGCAAGGCAGUCCCAUAUUAACCAGCAGGCCCUGGGGGUGGUGCUGGCUCCUGUGGGAAGGAUCAUUUAGUCACUUUCUCUGCCUCGUGUCCUGCUGUGGAAGGGAGGCCUGCUGCUGUAAGGUCUCUUCAAGCAUCUAGUGUUGUCCUUUAUCCUGGAGCGUCCCUGAGGAGCACAACCCCGACACGUCUGCAGGUGACUGCCUCUACGUCCUUGGCAAACGCUUCUCACAUUCCCUUCUCCGUGGGAGUCAGAGCCAAUUUGUAAUAAGCAAGAGCAGUUUGACCCAGAUUAAAAGAUACAAUUAG
ensembl:lncRNA